CAAGAGUGGGGGUGGCCCUCCCAGCCAGAACUUCGCCCCAGUACAACAGCAGAUGCCCCGCAGAGCACCCUCCAGGCCGGGAAGCACGGAGCGGGCGGGUGGGCAGGUCCUAGGCUACAGCGGACGCGCCCUCCACGCCCCAGGCCACAGUCCGCUGCGGGGGGCCUGCGGUCACACGACCCGCUUUCUGUCCCCCCGGCACAGGAUCUUCUUGAAGGCGCGGCGGAAGUCGUGGUUGAAAAUGGUGUAGAUGACCGGGUUCAGGGAGCUGUUGCAGUAGCCAAACCAGAAGAAGAACUUGAAGAGCGUGCGCGGCACCGAGCAGCCAACAGCCGUGAGCGUGUAGGUGAAGAAGAAGGGGAACCAGCACACCACGAACACCCCGAUGACCACGGCCAGCACGAACGUGAAGCGCUUCUCGCGGUUCUGCCGCCCGCGCCAGCGCGACGCCUUGGCGCCCCCGCCGCGCUCCUCCCCGGGCCCCGCGGUCCCGGGCCCGGUGGCCCCCGGUGCGCGGCGGGGCAGGCUGUCGCCGGGCUUCACCUGGCUGGCGCGCGCCUUGCCCUUGGCUCGGAGGCCGCGCUCGGGUCUGCGGGCCCCUGGGGGCCGCUCGGCCUGCUCCGACGACGAGCUCUCCUCCAGGUCCAGAGCGUCGGCGUCUCGCGGCCCGGCUGGCGCGGGCUCCCCGGGCGCGCCGUUGACCUGCGUGGGCAGCGGCUCGGCCUCGGCGCCCCCCGGGCCGGCGCCGCGCUCCGGGCCCAGCCCAUUGGGCCUGCGCUCGGCGCCCCCAGGCGGCGCGGCGGCGUGGGCGUCCGGACCCCGGCGGCUGGGCGGCACGCGAGUGCGGCGCUUGGCGAUCUGGUAGAUGCGCACGUAGACCAAGAUCAUGAUGAGGCAGGGCGCGAAGAAGGAGCCGAUGCACGACGAGAUGACGUACCACUUCUGGUCGUUGAUUUCACAGCGCUGCUCUGCCGGCUGCUGCCCGCCGCCGCCAGCCUUCUCGAAGGAGAUGAGCGGCGGGAAGGAGAUGACGGCCGAGAUGACCCACACGGUGACGAUGAUGGCCUUGAUGCGGCGCGGGGUGCGCUUCAGGUUGUACUCGAUGGCCUGCGUGAUGGACCAGUAGCGGUCCAGGCUGAUGGCGCACAGGUGCACGAUGGACGACGUGCAGAAGAACACGUCGAGCGCCAGGUAGAUCUCGCACCACGCCUUGCCGAAGUACCAGAAGCCCAUGACCUCGUUGGCCAGGGAGAAGGGGAUGACGAGCGUGGCCACCAGAAUGUCCGCCGAGGCCAGCGACACCAGGAAGAGGUUCUGCGGCGCCCUGAGCGCGCGGCUGGUGAACACGGCGAUGACGACCAGCACGUUGCCGAACACGAAGUAUUCCCAAACAGGUACUCCACCUCCAGAGGGAGUGGAACUCUGAUAAAAUCACAUCAGGAAGGAAGGGCUGGCAGACCAGGCCUGGCAUCCCACCCUGGACCCACGGCCGUGGACCCGUGUGUCCAGUUGCCCAGCUCUGAACUCCUGGGAAGCGCUGUGUCUUUGUGGAGCCACAAACAUCCUAUGAAUGCCUCCCAGAAGGAGCUCCAAGGCUCCAAACACAAAGUAAUGGUAAGUGGAAAUGUUAACUGCCCUGAUUUGAUCGUUAAGCACUGUAUAAAAUUUGUACAAUUAAAAUAUUUUUUACAAAGUUAAACUCUAAACUAAGCCCACCUCCACUCAUAUGCACACCCCUUCUUCAGUAAGGGGAGGUGCCCAAGGAAGAGAAUAUUCUCUUUGAUACGAAAUGGAGGUAGGAAUAGCAAGUUUUUCCUUGCAUGCUAGAUAUCCCGUGAUAGAUUUUCAACCAUCACGAGGGCACGCUUGCACUGUACAUCUGCACUUCUCAGACGAGCAGCAGGUAGUUUAAGGAGAAAGCCCAGGAGGUUAGGAAAUGUCAACAGGAGAGACAUUAGACCUAAAGAAAAGUUGUGUUAUUUAAGGAACCGCUAAACCCAAACGCCUUAUGUCGUCAUCUAAGCCGGGUGCCAAAGACUGAACAGACCGCCUCUCUGGGCAGCGAGGUGCAUGCUGAAGUCUGCCGGGGCUGAGGACUACAUGAAUAACCUCGUGGCCACCUUCAACUCCAGCCAGGCCUGUUGCCCCCUCGUGAUUGUUAUCGAUGCUGCUGCUCUUGAUGCAGAUGGUCGGGAAGUUUAUGCCUUUCAAAGUUCAGUGGACCCUCAGUUUACCACCGGCCUGCCAUACAAACAAUUGGGUUAAUUAAGUUAAUGGAUGAUUCAUCUGCCUCUUGUUAUGUAUAGCGUGUACCCAGGUAAACAUCCAGAUCUCAGCUGUAUUGAUUACAACCAACUUGAGUUACAACCAGCCCUCAGGGACCAAUUGAAUUUGUAAAUCAAGGGUCCACUGUACUUCACAGAUACCUCGUUUGGCACCAGUGUCUUUAAAACCUCUCAUUCUUUACCUUCUCCACUCUGUCCCAAGGAACUUUUCUAAUCCCUCUUUCUAGACAGUCUCAAGAAAGCUGAAAAGGCAGAAUUUCCUCCCUCUGUCGUGUCCAUCAUUUCACACCUUCUACUCCGCUCUCCGCUUUGAGUGUUGUAGCAGAGGCAGGGACAUUACCAGUGGGAUCAUUUGGAAAUGUGACAACACUCAAUUCUGCCCAGCACCAGAAGCUCCAUACUUCAGGUACAAAUGUUAAGAGAGACAAAAGUUGAAGCUUGUGGCCAUUUAGGGUUCACCAUGUUCUCAGAAGGAGGGACUGAAGCCAGGUGUGGUGGCGCACACCUAUAAUCCCAGCAUUUGGUAGGCUGAGGCAGGAGGAUUGCCUCAAGUUAGAGGCCAGCCUGAAUGACAUAGCAAGACCCUGUCUCAAAAAAAAAAAAAAAAAGUACAUCUUAGUCACUAUCACUUCCCAUGUCUACACUAACUUCCAGCACUGAUCGCCUUCCUAUUUUCAUUUCAGAAGCAAAGGGGAAAAUAAAAGCAAAGUCUGCAGUGCUUCCCUUCUUGGAAUUUUGCUGCUGGUUUGUGUAUGACACCUCUUGUCACAUUUCCUGACUGCUCCCAAGCAGCCAAUUGGUUUCUUCAUUCCUGGAUUUGGAAUCUUUUCUCUUAAUCUGGAAACACGCCUCUCAAGGAGCUAGGGACCCUGGGCCCAGUGCAGUGGCACGAAUGUUAAUAAGAACUGGAGCACCCUUUUGUUACUGUGCUAUGCGUCCUGUCCAGGGUUCUCUACAGAGCCUCUGCUCCAUACAGAGCUCGUCCUCCUGUCAGAGCUUCCUUAUCACCAAGGGCUCUGCCUCCGUAGUCUGUCACAGAGUUGGUAUCUCUGAGCUUUGAAAAUCUACACAGACACCAUUAAUCUUUGCUAGAAGGGUUCAUGCUGUGCUAGCUGAGUGAGCCAGAGCCGAGCAGAGACAUCCACAAGGACAGUACCAGACCUGUAUACCAGCCCUGCCUGGGAAGAUAAUCCACUUACCAGUGCCCCACCAGAGAUUAUGACUCAAGUCCAAAGUGGGACACAGCUGGUGGAUUCUAACAAACCCCUCCAGGAGAUACGGGUGUGCACUCUUCUGAAGACCCUAGCGGAAGCAGUCUGUCUCAGUGAGGCUGUGGAGAUGGGCAUGCACUCUUUCCUGGCACCCCAAUUACCUGCCGACUUGCAUGAAGUCAACCUGCAUUGGAAAGAAUGGGUCCAGGCUGAGAAUCACUGCCCCAAGGCUCAGGCCAGCAGGUCCACAGCAGUGCCACAGAGCUCGGGGAGCUGAGAUGGAGCAAACAGUGGAGAGCAACCUCCGAUACAGGCUGGCUUUGGUGGCCUGAGGAGGAACCACCUCUGGGCACACAAAUGGGGGUCCCUUAUUUUUGUUAUUAAUUUUAAAAUACCAUUUGUGAGCACUGGCCUCAUGCCAGGCACAGUGCUCAGUAGUUUACGUACCCUAUAUUAUGUACUAUAUAUGUUUUGUGUAUGUGUUAUAUCUAUGUACCAGUGCUGGCGAAUUUUUUACAGCUUUCAGUAAUGAAAGCUGGCCAUGCCACGCAUGCUAUAGGUUUGCCACCACUACUAUAUACCAUCUACUCUAUAGGUAAUUCUAAAAAUAACUUUGAACAUAGUUACUUUCAUUUGUCUGUGUAAGUAAGUGAGGGAAAUAAGGCCCAGAGAGGGUAAGUAAAUGGCCCAGCUAAUAAGUGGCAGGAUCAGCCCCAACCCUAUGUGUCCUGAUUAUGAGCCCAACAAGCUUUCUAGGCCCCCUACUGUGAAGCUGUCCCCUCCACAUUCUGCCAGGGGGAACUUGCAAGAUCCCUGGAUUAUCAGAAAAGAGAGCAUUGACAAGUGGCUAAAUCUCGGCCAAUCUCUGCCCUCCUGAUCCAGUCCUGGCUACUACAGCAGGUCAGUGUGAGGCAAAAUGUAUCUCUUCAUUCCAAGAGGUCCUGGAGGUAGCAACAGGCAAUGCUGCCUGAGACUGGACAUUUGCCAAGGACCAGUCUGGUGCAGGGUGAAGGCAGCACCAACUGCUUGGGCAGCACCUGAACCGCAGAGCCAGGUCUCCCUGUCAUGGCACCUGCACGUCCUUACUGCAGCUUGGAUGCAUUCUCUUCCCUUGAGCUGACCUUCUCACCUGUAGGGCAGGGUGACAAGGGAAAGGACUAAGAAAUCAUGCUUCCGAGCUGGGUGUGGUGGCACGUGCCUGUAACUCAGAACUCUGGGAGGCUAAGGCAGAAGGAGUACAGGUUCAGGCCCAGUCUGGGCAAUUUAACUAUCUCAAAAAAAAAAAAAUUUUAAGGCUGGGGAUAUAGCUCAGUGAGAAGGCCCUGAGUUCAAUCCCCACUACCAUAAAAAAAAAUCUGGAGUAGACUUCUUAGAGGUUCUGAUUCAGUAAAAUUAUGCUGCCUUGGCACUUGCAUUUUUAACAAAGGUCUAAGUAAUUCAAUAAAUACCAAAAUACAAGACACACUAGCAAAGAAACUUGAAAAGUGCUUCUGUAAUGAAUGAGUGAGUGAAUGGAUAGAUUUUACUUAUGAGCAAAGUAGCACAGAAGUAACAGGCCCAGGAGUAGGUGGCCAAGGUGGCUAGCAUCUCACUCCUAAGUAAGGAUUUAGUUAUAGCUAUAGGAUCCUCUCAUUCUAUUUUUUUCCCCUAAAGGAACAUGUUAGUAGAGGGAAAUGUUCUAAUUAUAACUACAGCUAGGCGAUUUACCAAUAAAUGAAAGCUGCUUAAGCAAAAUAAUUUGUCUUGGAGUCAUAUCUGAAAUUAAACUGUCAGGCAACACCCAAAUGUGUCUUGGCAUCUCUGUCUGUCUUUGAUGGUGACUUCAUCUAAUAAG
rnacentral:lncRNA from 1 species